UACGAAGGGGGCUAGCGUUGUUCGGAAUUACUGGGCGUAAAGCGCACGUAGGCGGACUACUAAGUCAGGGGUGAAAUCCCGGGGCUCAACCCCGGAACUGCCUUUGAUACUGAUAGUCUCGAGUCCGGAAGAGGUGAGUGGAAUUCCGAGUGUAGAGGUGAAAUUCGUAGAUAUUCGGAGGAACACCAGUGGCGAAGGCGGCUCACUGGUCCGGUACUGACGCUGAGGUGCGAAAGCGUGGGGAGCAAACGGG
rnacentral:rRNA from 1 species